AACUCAAAGGAAUUGACGGGGACCCGCACAAGCGGUGGAUGAUGUGGAUUAAUUCGAUGCAACGCGAAAAACCUUACCUACCCUUGACAUGUCCAGAAGCUCUUAGAGAUUUGAGUGUGCCCGAAAGGGAACUGGAACACAGGUGCUGCAUGGCUGUCGUCAGCUCGUGUCGUGAGAUGUUGGGUUAAGUCCCGCAACGAGCGCAACCCUUGUCGUUAAUUGCCAUCAUUCAGUUGGGCACUUUAACGAGACUGCCGGUGACAAACCGGAGGAAGGUGGGGAUGACGUCAAGUCCUCAUGGCCCUUAUGGGUAGGGCUUCACACGUCAUACAAUGGUCGGUACAAAGGGUUGCCAACCCGCGAGGGGGAGCUAAUCCCAGAAAGCCGAUCGUAGUCCGGAUCGUAGGCUGCAACUCGCCUGCGUGAAGUCGGAAUCGCUAGUAAUCGUGGAUCAGCAUGUCACGGUGAAUACGUUCCCGGGUCUUGUACACACCGCCCGUCACACCAUGGGAGCGGGUUCCGCCAGAAGUAGGUAGCCUAACCGCAAGGAGGGCGCUUACCACGGCGGGGUUCGUGACUGGGGUGG
rnacentral:rRNA from 1 species